GAGAACCUUCCCACUAAUGUCAUAAGAGUCCGACGUGGGUGGUGGGUCAAACACUGAAACUACUCUUCUUGUUAGGUCAAAAGAAGAGGGUGGUGGUGUGGAUGAGGGUUAGAGUCCACGAAAAGUUGUGGGUCUUCAUAGUUAUGUGGCUAAAUUUGGAGUCAAAUCUAUGGAGCCGUGAAGCAGCCGUGCAGCAGCUUCUUACCAGUGAAAAGGAUUGCCCUUUUGCCUUUACUUGCUUGCAUUUGACAACUUUUGGAUGCUUGUUUAGAUAUUGACUUGCAUGUCACAUUGGUUUGCGCAUGGACAUGAACAGAGAAAAAAUUGUACUGAGAUGUAAUAAAGAAAAUAAAGAAGAUAAGAACAUCUGACUUAAACCAAUCACCUUUGUCUUUAACUUCAGAUUUCAGAUCAUAAAUUGUUGAAGAGUUGAAAACACUCAUGCUCGCUUUAGAGUGAUCAAUUCUCUUAAGAUUUUUAGGGGAGAGCAAAGCAUGAUUCAUGGGUUCUCCAUGCAAGAGCGGACUAAACUUGUUCAUAAUAAAUAACUCUAACAAGAAGCUUGAGAGAGAGAUGAGAGAGAGAGCAAAUCCCUACAGGAGCUUCAAAAGCAAACUAAAAUUCUAGCUUUUAUUUACUUAUACAAGCUGUAUACAAAGCUCCCUAAAAUAAACACUAGCUAAAAAGAGCCCUAACUGAGAAACCAGAAGAAAAGUGCGAGAGAAUCGGAAAUGAAAAAGAAGCAAAUGGUCUGAACUUAAUAAUCAUCAAUCAAUCAGUUAACCAUUUUCAAUUAACAUGGCGUAUAAAAACAGUUUCCAAAUCAGGAGGAGGAGUAAAGAACUCUCUAUUGUAAUUACAUUUCAAAGUAGCUUUCCGCUUCUUAGGAGCCAGAGGGCAAGUCAGUCUCGUCGGAAUUCUAGCAUCUUCACUUGUCGGUGUGGUGGUCGUCGAACACUCAUCACCACUACUUUCGCUUUCCUUCUCCACAGGAUUCGUAAAAAUGGGCUUUAAAGGAGCUCUUAAAGGAAUACCAGCAAUAACCCAUUUUUUAGCAUCCAAUUCCAACGUCCCAGAAUCAACUUGAGGCUUCCCUGAGAAACCCAUGUUUUGGAUCGAAGAAACAAAGAGAACCCUUCAAGUAAUAUAGGAUUAGGAGGCUAGGAAGCUAGCCUUCAGAGAAUAAGGAAUAAAGUGUACAGAGAAUAAAGAGAAGAUGUAUAGUGAUCGUGUGGGGAUUGGCUGAGAAUCAAAUGAAACCAGAAAGAAGGAAAGAAAGAAAGAAAGAAAAUGGAAAGCAAAGGUUAUUUUCCGAGAGAAAGAGUUCUAAAGAAGCUAGCAAGAGAGGAGGAGCGGGGAGAUAUAUAAUAUCAGUACUGAAGAAGAAGAGAGAGAAAAUUUGUUGAAAUGGAAUUGAGAAGAAAAUCUUUGAAAAGAAAGAAAGAAGCUUUAAAUGAGGGAAGUGUAAUGGUGAAUGCAGCGUUGAUGCGAAUUAGAAAUAAGAGAGAGAGAGAAGAGAGAGAGAAAGAGAACCCGAGGAAACUCGUGACAUAAGCCGAUUCAAGAUUAAAUAAGUCAAGACUUUUUAGGGAGGAGAAGUGCCCGCGGCCGGGAAUAUGGCUGACCGCGGGCAGCACCACCUCCUAUAUUGACUUGUACGUUUCGCGCCAAAAUCAUUUUGCUCUGAUUGGAAUUAUCAGAACCCACUCAACAAUAAUAAUGAUAAUGAUAUUUUCAUUAUUAUUAUUAUUAAUUAUUUAUAUUUCCUUUAUCAGUCCUCAUUUAUUUUACAGAAA
rnacentral:lncRNA from 1 species